AACGAACGCUGGCGGCAUGCCUAACACAUGCAAGUCGAACGAGACCUUCGGGUCUAGUGGCGCACGGGUGCGUAACGCGUGGGAACCUGCCCUUAGGUUCGGAAUAACUCCCCGAAAGGGGUGCUAAUACCGGAUAAUGUCUUCGGACCAAAGAUUUAUCGCCUUUGGAUGGGCCCGCGUUGGAUUAGCUAGUUGGUAGGGUAAAAGCCUACCAAGGCGACGAUCCAUAGCUGGUCUGAGAGGAUGAUCAGCCACACUGGGACUGAGACACGGCCCAGACUCCUACGGGAGGCAGCAGUGGGGAAUAUUGGACAAUGGGCGUAAGCCUGAUCCAGCAAUGCCGCGUGAGUGAUGAAGGCCUUAGGGUUGUAAAGCUCUUUUACCCGGGAUGAUAAUGACAGUACCGGGAGAAUAAGCGCCGGCUAACUCCGUG
rnacentral:rRNA from 1 species